AACGCACCUUGCGCUCCUUGGUAUUCCGAGGAGCAUGCCUGUUUGAGUGUCAUGAAACUCUCAAACCCAAGUUUUGGAUUUCGAUCCAUGCUUGAGUUUGGAUUUGGAUGUUUGCCGGUGAUAAGCCGACUCAUCUUAAAAGUAUUAGCUAGAUCUGUCUCUAUGACUGGUUUGACUUGGCAUAAUAAGUAUUUUGCUGAGGACAUCUUCGGAUGGCCAGGACCUAGACUAUUGUCUGCUAACUAAACCAUCACUUUAAGUGCAUCUUUGGAUGUUACUCAUUGUGUAACUUUGACAUCUGGCCUCAAAUCAGGUAGGACUACCCGCUGAACUUAA
rnacentral:misc_RNA from 1 species